CACGUGUCCCUGUGUUUCAUGUUGUGCAGCGUUGCGUUUUCAAGCCACACAAACUUAUUACUGAACUCUUGGCUUCCGUGCUUGAUGUGUAGCUCUUUGUGGACUCCCCAGUACGAUAGAAAUAGAAAAGAAGACAAGGAAAGACAUUCAUCUCCGUGUUCUCAAGAAGAGCAAACUGAAGCGUUCUAUCCCAGGAAAACGUGUGUAGCUGCGACAGAUGUGGAAUAAUUGAAGGGGAACGUGAUCCAGGGAGGGCGGAGCUAGUGUUCAGAGGUGCAGGACUUGAAACCUGCGAAUAGUGUGCUCUGGAGUCUC